GAUGAAGAACGCAGCGAAAUGCGAUACGUAGUGUGAAUUGCAGAAUUCAGUGAAUCAUCGAAUCUUUGAACGCACAUUGCACCUCUCGGUAUUCCGGGAGGUAUGCGUGUUCGAGCGUCAUUUGUACCCUCAAGCUCUGCUUGGUGUUGGGUGUUUGUUCCGCCUCUGUGUGUGAACUCGCCUCAAAACAAUUGGCAGCCGGCGUACUUGUUUCGGAGCGCAGCACAUUUUGCGAUCCAGAUCAACGUACAGCGGCAUCCAAGAAGCCUUAUUUAACGCUCUUGACCUCGGAUCAGGUAGGGAUACCCGCUGAACUUAAGCAUAUCAAUAAGCGGAGGA
rnacentral:misc_RNA from 1 species